AGUGGCAUUCCUCUCUUGGUUGCGUUACGCCUGUGAAAUCCGACAGCGGUGGCAGCAUGUCGUCCGAUCCGCCUUCAACUGAACGCUCGCCGACUGAUGCGGAAGGAGCGGUUUGCCUCUUGCUUGCGGUGCGCCUGUACCUCACAGCGGUGGCAGUAUGGCGUCCGAUCCGCCUUCAACUGAACGCUCGCCAACUGGUGCGGAAGGAGCGGUUUGCCUCUUGCUUGCGUUGCGCCUGUGAAACGUGACAACGGUGGCAGCAUGUCGUCCGAUCCGGCUUAAACUGAACGCUCGCCGACAGGGGCGGAAGAAGCGGCUUGCCUCGUUUCGCAGGGGCCAUCAAAGAAAAUCGUGAAGCUCAUAGGCGCCCGGAAACUCGCCGACCUCCACGAAAGCCUGCGGACGGGAGGGUUCGUGUACCUGAUGACAGGCAACGAUCUUCUAAUACAGAUCUUCCAACGACCGGUUGCAGUGCUACGUCGACAUGGGUGAAAGCACGACGGUGUGUGAUGGAGCAUUGAUUAACUUGGUUGUCUCCCCAAGCCACUCCGAAGCAUCAGAGGCACAAAAAAAGCCGCUGUCUGGUAGUGCGGUUGGACAUGCGGAGAAUGCAGUCAAAGGACAGUACAAGGAAUUGUCAACUUACACACUGCCUCUGAUGCCCAUUGACGUUGCUGCACACCUCUGAAAUAUUACAGCAGGAGGCGUGCCUGACAAUCUUCAAAAGAAAAUUGAAUGGAUUGCCUACAAUUCGUCAUCUCACACAAUGUAAGUCACAACAAUUA
rnacentral:lncRNA from 1 species